UACGUAGGGCGCAAGCGUUAUCCGGAAUUAUUGGGCGUAAAGAGCUCGUAGGCGGUUUGUCGCGUCUGCCGUGAAAAUCCGAGGCUCAACCUCGGACUUGCAGUGGGUACGGGCAGACUAGAGUGUGGUAGGGGAGACUGGAAUUCCUGGUGUAGCGGUGGAAUGCGCAGAUAUCAGGAGGAACACCGAUGGCGAAGGCAGGUCUCUGGGCCAUUACUGACACUGAGAAGCGAAAGCAUGGGGGAGCGAACAGG
rnacentral:rRNA from 1 species